UUGCGGCCAUAUCACGAUGAAACACCGGUUCUCAUACGAUCGCCAAAGUUAAGCAAGUACCUAGAUGGGUGACCGCUUGGGAAUACUAGGUGCUAUA